rnacentral:rRNA from 1 species
GUGGGGAAUUUUGGACAAUGGGCGAAAGCCUGAUCCAGCAAUGCCGCGUGUGUGAUGAAGGCCUUCGGGUUGUAAAGCACUUUUGGCGGGAACGAAAAGGACUGUGCCAAUACCACGGUUCGAUGACGGUACCCGCAGAAUAAGCACCGGCUAACUACGUGCCAGCAGCCGCGGUAAUACGUAGGGUGCAAGCGUUAAUCGGAAUUACUGGGCGUAAAGAGUGCGCAGGCGGUUUUGCAAGACCGAUGUGAAAUCCCCGGGCUUAACCUGGGAACUGCAUUGGUGACUGCAAGGCUAGAGUGUGUCAGAGGGAGGUGGAAUUCCGCAUGUAGCAGUGAAAUGCGUAGAUAUGCGGAGGAACACCGAUGGCGAAGGCAGCCUCCUGGGAUAACACUGACGCUCAUGCACGAAAGCGUGGGGAGCAAACAGGAUUAGAAACCCUGGUAGUCC